rnacentral:rRNA from 1 species
AACGAACGCUGGCGGCAGGCUUAACACAUGCAAGUCGAGCGCCCCGCAAGGGGAGCGGCAGACGGGUGAGUAACGCGUGGGAACAUACCCUUUCCUGCGGAAUAGCUCCGGGAAACUGGAAUUAAUACCGCAUACGCCCUACGGGGGAAAGAUUUAUCGGGGAAGGAUUGGCCCGCGUUGGAUUAGCUAGUUGGUGGGGUAAUGGCCUACCAAGGCGACGAUCCAUAGCUGGUCUGAGAGGAUGAUCAGCCACAUUGGGACUGAGACACGGCCCAAACUCCUACGGGAGGCAGCAGUGGGGAAUAUUGGACAAUGGGGCAACCCUGAUCCAGCCAUGCCGCGUGAGUGAUGAAGGCCUUAGGGUUGUAAAGCUCUUUCACCGGUGAAGAUAAUGACGGUAACCGGAGAAGAAGCCCCGGCUAACUUCGUGCCAGCAGCCGCCGUAAGAC